GGGACGACGAAGUCGUCACUCUGUGGCGCUUUCGUCUGAAUCUCCAUUUCGCUGCUGCAACUCGUGACUCUAUGUACCACGUCGUUGUCUCUUUGAGCUCCCGCCUGUCGGCCACCCCUGCUCCACGCCCGUAUCUUGCGCUGCGGCCGCACCACCGCGCGUCAUGGCCUAUCUUCUUCGACGACACGACAACACGACCUCUCCGCCCUGUCCUCUACGAUGGCGGCCCCCUUAUCUCCAGCGUCCAGGGGCAAGGGUGGAGGACGCACACCAAUGCACCGCCCUUCCCUUUCCUACUCUUCUCUCUCCUCUAAAGGGAAGGUCCUUGCUCCUGCUCACCAUUGGUCCUUGCAUACUUCAUCCCAUUCGAUGGUGCACAUGUCCUUGCUACUGUUCACCAUUGGAUAUCAGUGAGGCGAAUGGGAUAAACUAUGCAAAAAAGAUAUUCAGACUACUGCAAAAUUGAAGGGAUAGCUUCGAAGAAAGCUGCUUAUCCUAUGACUUUGAAAAAGAGCUGCUGAAAAAAUUAGAGUGAUGACUUCGUCGUCCCUUUUGCGGCCUUCUCUGCCAAGCGGAUCGCCCAAACGCAACGACCCUUUUCCGACAACGGGGCACUUCUAGAGUCUUCGACGAACGUUUUUUUUCCACGCACCGACUUGAACAACGGCAGCAGAGUCUUCACAAAAGGAGGACAUCUCAUGUUCUACGUCGUUCAAAUUGAAUCUGACGGUCCAUGUUUUCCUACCGACGGGGAUAGGCUGAAAGGUCACGUUUUGGACCGGCUUUGUAAAAAUUUCUUUUCUUUUAUAAAAAAGGUAACUAAGUGUAUGAGUUGUUUGCUUUGUACUGCAUACAACCUAACUUUAUAGAUUGUAUUUUCUUUUCAA